rnacentral:tRNA from 1 species
GCGCCCUUAGCUCAGUUGGAUAGAGCGUUUGGCUACGAACCAAAAGGCCGGAUGUUCGAGUCAUCCAGGGCGCA